AUGCACGUAGGGGGCACCACUCGCAACUGCAGCAGGUGUAUCACAACCACUGCGCGGCACGGGUGUGCUCAAUGCUUACAAAGGGAUACAGCGUGCUGCUCCGACCCUAUCAACAUGUGGCAUUCGCAAAGCGGAGCAGCGCAGGUGGCGUGAAUCUGAACAAGGGGGCGCUAACAGAGCGGGAGAGGGGAGACAGCUUUACGGAACCGGAGGUGUACCGCAGCAAGACAAACUUGACAGCGAUGCUAAAGACGAGGCGAAAAGAGCGCGGCCUCCUGAAGGAGGAAAAGCAGCGCACCAUGAUGGACCAUCUGAACCUGGACACGCGUACAGCGGAAGCGCUUCAUGCGGGGCGUCGAUUGCCGCAGACGCCCGCCGAGAUACAGGCGGUUCGCUCUUCUGACGACGCUCUCGCCGAGGACAGUUACGACAGCGAGGGCUACAGCACCACCAUGCGCAAUUUGAUGCGGCGCGAGGUGGAUCGCCGCGAUCACGUGGCCGACAAGUUUGGCCAGCCACCCACGUCGCGCGAGUUUUACCAGCUCUUUCGCAAACUGCGCUCCGCCGACUCAGACGAGGAGGCGGUGGAGCAGCAUCAGCGCAGGCUAGUGGAGGAGCAUGGCGUGUACCCAAGCUCCCGCAUCGACUCGUUCAUGCUGGAUGACGACAGCUACUUCCCCGACUGGGUGCAUGCCCUCCCCUACAGCAUCCGUGACCGUGUCAAGUACGGAUCGCUUGGACUCACGGAGGACGACGAGGCGCUGCGUGUGCGUCUGGCGCGGCUGCCGCGUGAUGCGCGACUGCGCGAGUGGAAGCGGCUGAAGGCGGCAAAAGAGUACUCUGCAGCUAACGAGGAGACGCUCACGUUGGCUGAGCUGCGUGACGCCCGCCAGGGAAAGCGGCGCUUCCACUGGCUGCAGCGGAAACGCCAGAAGCGUGCGGCGGCACUACGACGCAUGGCGAUGCGCAAACCAGACGGCUACGAGCUGUGGCCUUCCUCCGUGAGGGACUUUAGCCAGCGCAUUGCCUUCAUCGCACAGCACGUCGAAAACGGUCUGCAGACUGGUGGCGAGUGGCCCCUCAAUGAGGAUGCUCUUACCAAGGCGAAGAUCAAGCGGCGGCAGAGCGAGGCGGAGCGUACCUUCCUCAUGUCUCCAGACGAAAAGAAGAUGGUGACAGGCGCCGGAGGAAGCCGUAUGCACGGCGGGAUGAAGGAGUUGCUCGAUUCUCUGGACGAGCCAGAGAAGCGGUACAAGAAACUCUCGCGCAAGGCUUACGCUAACCGAGUGAACGCCAUUGUGCAUGGCGACCAAGAUGAGCAUGGCCGGAAGUACCGAAAGCUUCACAACCUUGCCACGCGACGGCAGCGUCGAUACGAUUCGCUUGCAGAGAUGGCACUGGAGAAAGAGGUACGCAAGGAGCCCCUCGUCAACGUGAGUGGACUCAAUCACACAGACGACGAGCACUGGAGCCGUCACGAGAAAUCGUGGGUUGACGGCAUGCCCUCGACUCGCUACGGCAGCUAAGUUCGCGAGCCACUUCCUGUCUUCCGCGCUUCUCACUUCCUGUCUAACAUCUACAGAGGCACGCACGAAGACAGCGGCAGCAAGAGGCGAACAAAAGAUGUGGAUGCGUGUGAGUCUCUUUCGUGGUUUUUACGUCUGGGUAUCUGCUCCACCGUCGCGCAGUG
rnacentral:misc_RNA from 1 species